rnacentral:tRNA from 2 species
GCCCCAAUAGCUCAGUUGGCAGAGCAUCACUUUCGUAAAGUGGGUGUCGGGAGUUCAAAUCUCUCUUGGGGCU